AAAUUUACAAAGCACCCAGGAUUCUACUAAUUGGACAAAUGAUAUAUAUUCAAAAGUCAAAGGACCUGAAAAAAGAGGACGUGUGCGUUGUCUUGGCAAGCUUCCACAUCAAGCAAGUUCAUCUCAAAGCUCUUAUACAAACAAUAGGAUUCAAAAGUUGGAGAAUUUGCUUGGAAACCUUGUAGUUGUGCUUAAAGUACGAUUUGCAGAAGAUCCACAAAUUAAUCAAGUCUUAGAAGCUAUAGAUCAAGAGGUACCUACAAAUGGUUCUACCAGUAAAGAUCAUCAAACUACAAACAAUCUUAACUAGAGGUGAGUUGAAAUUUAGAUGGUAAUGAAGAUGCGAGUCGGCGACAAAAUGUUAUUUCAGGAACAUGAUUUAGAUGGUAAUGAAGAUGUGAGUCGGCGACAAAAUGUUCAAGUGUUUGGUUUUUACUUUGUCUAUUUGUCCAACAACUCGAAUUAACUCUUUUAUACAUUUAGAAAUUUAGAAACUUGUUACAUUUUAGUGAUGAUUCCCUCCAUGUAAAGAGGGUCAUGGUGCACCAAAAAUAUACACUUAGGAAGGACUAUGCACAUGGUACUAAAAAACAAGGCAAAGUGAAUUGGAAAAUUUUCUAUAGCACUACUAAUGCUAGAUCAUUUCACAAUGACAAUGGAUCAAGGGCUGCAAUAUGUUAAAAAGCACACAAUCUAGUUACAAUAAUCACAAAUUAGGCUAACAAAAAUUUAAUUGUAUGUAGCAGGUUAUUGUAACUUUUCAAAGGUCAUGUUGCAGCAGAUCUCUAACUUUGUGCAGCAUAAUAAUAAGCUCAUGUAUAUUUAAUUAAAAAUUAUAAUCAACAAAGAGUGUAAUUAGGAACUAGUUUUAUUAUUAUUAUGACAUUUACCUACAGAAGACCGUAGGUACAAGUAAAUUGACUUUUACCUACAGUUAGAGAUUAUAGGUAUAAAUUAAUAUCUUUUACCUA